rnacentral:RNase_P_RNA from 14 species
UGGGCGGGGGAAGCUCAUCAGCGGGGCCACGCGCUGAGUGCUCGUCACUCCAUCGGCCCCUGGGAAGGUCUGAGACUGGGGCCUCCCGCGGCCCUAACCGGGCCCUCCCCGAGUGGGGAGGUGAGUUCCCAGAGAGCAGGGCUCCACGCGUGGGCAGACUGGGCAGAAAAUACCCUGAGUGAGGUAAGCCAGACACAAAAGAACACACAUGGUUUGUACUCACUGAUAAGUCGAUAUUAGCCCGAAAGCUCAAAAUGCCCACUUUACAACUUACAGACUAUAUGAAGCUUAAGAAGAAGGAAGAUUGUGGAUGUUUCAAUCCUACUUA